CAGGUUAUUAUUAACAAAGUGAUUGAAGAAAUAAAGUAUUACGAGGAGGAAAAAGAAAAUUCUGAACAUGUCAAAAAAAAUAACAAGGAAAAGUAUUUAGAUAUAUUUGGGGUCAUUCGUUCAAGUAAACGUGUAGAUAAUGACGUUAAAAUUGAAAAUGAGGGUUUUUUUCGUAUAUCUGAUUAUUCGUUAUUUAAAGACACUGUAAAUGUUAUGUGGAAAAUUUUAAACAAAAUUUGUUAUACCAUAAUACUUUUUACGCAUGAAAAUAUUCUCCUAGUUAAUAAAACAAAAAAAAAAAACAAAAAUAAAUAAAUAAACAAAUAAAUAAAUAAACUCAGUUGUAUACAUAUAUGUGCA